rnacentral:rRNA from 1 species
AACCUCCGCAAUGUGAGAAAUCGCGACGGGGGGAUCCCAAGUGCCAUUCUUAACGGGAUGGCUUUUCAUUAGUGUAAAGAGCUUUUGGAAUAAGAGCUGGGCAAGACCGGUGCCAGCCGCCGCGGUAACACCGGCAGCUCUAGUGGUAACAAUUUUUAUUGGGCCUAAAGCGUCCGUAGCCGGUUUAAUAAGUCUCUGGUGAAAUCCUGCAGCUUAACUGUGGGAAUUGCUGGAGAUACUAUUAGACUUGAGACCGGGAGAGGUUAGAGGUACUCCCAGGGUAGAGGUGAAAUUCUGUAAUCCUGGGAGGACCGCCUGUUGCGAAGGCGUCUAACUGGAACGGUUCUGACGGUGAGGGACGAAAGUUAGGGGCGCGAACCGGAUUAGAUACCCGGGUAGUCCUAACUGUAAACGAUGCGGACUUGGUGUUGGGGUGGCUUUGAGCUGCUUCAGUGCCGAAGGGAAGCUGUAAGUCCGCCGCCUGGGAAGUACGGUCGCAAGACUGAAACUUAAAGGAAGU